GGGCCGUUAGCUCAGUUGGUAGAGCACCGGACUUUUAAUCCGAGUGUCGCGGGUUCGAGCCCCGCACGGCCUACCA
rnacentral:tRNA from 2 species